GCCUGGAGGAGGAGGUUGCCUCUGGGAGCAGGCGUAGCUGCUGGAACUCUUCUUCCCAGCCUUCUUUUAAUGCUCUCCGGCACCUCCUGCACACAGAUAAACCAGGAUCAGGAGAAUAAACGGACCUGCAGCAGCAGGACUGUGGUUCUAGUGAAUGAGAGAAGCCUCUCUCCAGCGAGGUACAGGAGGCCAGGCCAAAUGCCCUGCUCUCUGCCUGCAUGUUUGCCACCGUGCCCAGGACUAGGGGCAGCAUGGGAGCUGCUGGCUGGGGCUGUGCUGGUCACCCCCUCCCUCCCACUUCUCUCUCCAGCCACGCUUUCAGUUCCAGGGUUAGGGCUAGUGGCUACAGUACGUGCC
rnacentral:lncRNA from 1 species